rnacentral:rRNA from 1 species
GGCGAACGCUGGCGGCGUGCUUAAGACAUGCAAGUCGAACGGCAGUCUUCGGACUGUAGUGGCGCACGGGUGAGUAACGCGUAACUGACCUACCCCAAAGUCGCGGAUAACGAUUCGAAAGAAUCGCCAAUACGUGAUGUGCUGUCAGAUUGUGUUCUGCCAGUAAAGAUUGAUUGCUUUGGGAUGGGGUUGCGUUCCAUCAGCUAGUUGGUGGGGUAAAGGCCCACCAAGGCGACGACGGAUAGCCGGCCUGAGAGGGUGGCCGGCCACAGGGGCACUGAGACACGGGUCCCACUCCUACGGGAGGCAGCAGUUAGGAAUCUUCCACAAUGGGCGAAAGCCUGAUGGAGCGACGCCGCGUGAGGGAUGAAGGUCUUCGGAUCGUAAACCUCUGAAUCAGGGACGAAAGACACUUCGGUGGGAUGACGGUACCUGAGUAAUAGCACCGGCUAACUCCGUGCCAGCCGCCGCCGUAAUAC